GACGAACGCUGGCGGCGUGCUUAACACAUGCAAGUCGAACGCUGAAGACCUGGCUUUUGUUGGGUUGGAUGAGUGGCGCACGGGUGAGUAACACGUGAGUAACCUGCCCUCUUCUUUGGGAUAACGCCCGGAAACGGGUGCUAAUACUGGAUAUUCACUGAUCUUCGCAUGGGGGUUGGUGGAAAGGUUUGUUCUGGUGGGGGAUGGGCUCGCGGCCUAUCAGCUUGUUGGUGGGGUGAUGGCCUACCAAGGCUUUGACGGGUAGCCGGCCUGAGAGGGUGACCGGUCACAUUGGGACUGAGAUACGGCCCAGACUCCUACGGGAGGCAGCAGUGGGGAAUAUUGCACAAUGGGCGAAAGCCUGAUGCAGCGACGCCGCGUGAGGGAUGGAGGCCUUCGGGUUGUAAACCUCUUUCGCUCAUGGUCAAGCCGCAACUGUGGGUUGUGGUGAGGGUAGUGGGUAAAGAAGCGCCGGCUAACUACGUG
rnacentral:rRNA from 1 species